UAGCAGGUAAAAUGUGGCUGCCCCCGCGUCUUGUUUUGCUUUUGCUUUUGCAAAAGCAAAACAGCGGGGGGGAGGAAAGUCCGGGCUCCGCAGGGUAAACGUAGUGGGCAACGCCCAUCACUCAAUUAAUUUUGAGUAGGAUAUCCUUAAUUUUAGGAUCCCGCCGCUUAAGCUGGUUUUUCCAGUAUUGGCGCCGCUUUGCUUCGCAAAGCGAAGCAAAGCGGCGGGGGGUGAAACGAGCAAUCUCUACGUGGAGCAAGGCCAAAUAGGCCCGGCGUUCCUAUCGAAAGAUAGGACGGAGAAGUCCCAGUCGAUGCCUCUGAUUUUGAGGAAGCCGGGCGGGUAGGCUGCUUGAUCCUUUGCUGUAAGGCUUUAAGGACUAGAGAAAUGGCCACAAUUAUACAGAACCCGGCUUAUUUUACCUGCUAUUUU
rnacentral:RNase_P_RNA from 1 species